UCAUACGGGAGGCAGCAGUGGGGAAUAUUGCACAAUGGGGGAAACCCUGAUGCAGCCAUGCCGCGUGUGUGAAGAAGGCCUUCGGGUUGUAAAGCACUUUCAGUUGUGAGGAAAAGUUAGUAGUUAAUACCUGCUAGCCGUGACGUUAACAACAGAAGAAGCACCGGCUAACUCCGUGCCAGCAGCCGCGGUAAUACGGAGGGGGCGAGCGUUAAUCGGAAUUACUGGGCGUAAAGCGCACGCAGGCGGUUUGUUAAGCUAGAUGUGAAAGCCCCGGGCUCAACCUGGGAUGGUCAUUUAGAACUGGCAGACUAGAGUCUUGGAGAGGGGAGUGGAAUUCCAGGUGUAGCGGUGAAAUGCGUAGAUAUCUGGAGGAGCAUCAGUGGCGAAGGCGACUCCCUGGCCAAAGACUGACGCUCAUGUGCGAAAGUGUGGGUAGCGAACAGGAUUAGAUACCCUGGUAGUCCACACCGUAAACGCUGUCUACUAGCUGUGUGUGUCUUGAAGACGUGCGUAGCGAACCUAACCCGCUAAGUACACCUCCU
rnacentral:rRNA from 1 species